rnacentral:lncRNA from 1 species
AAUCAGAUGCCCACUUUUGGCCUCUGAGAGCACUGCAUACAUGUGAUACACAGACACAUAUGUAGGCAAAAUAUAUACAUAAAAUAAAAUAAAAUAAAUAAAUCUUUUAAAAACUUGUUUAAAUGUUGUAUCUUGGAUCAGAUCCUUAAUCAGAAAAAAAAAAAAAAAAAAAAAAAAAGCUUAAGUGGUUAAUCCAGAUAAUGACUCGUUCAGGUCAGUGCCUUAGAAAUAGAGUGUGGCUUCUGAAAACUACUAAUAGAUUGGGGACCUCCUAUAGUGUCUCUUUAUUUUUUAAUACAUUUUUAAUUAUUCUGAUAUGUAUGUGAUUACAUGUACAAAAACUAAGCUGAGCAUGGAGGCACAUCAGUAUAAUCACAGUACUUGGGAGGCAGAAAGCAGAGAUUUGGGAGUUUGGGGCAAGUCCAGACUAUUAAGACCUAUUUCAAAAAUGGCAGCAAUAAUCACAAAACAUAAGCACAGCAAACUUGCUAGGUAAGAAAGAUGUAGUGAUCAAGAACUAAUUAGUAGAAUUCACAAUUUCAGAAAAGUUGAAAAAAUUGUAAUAUAAAUAGAACCUAAUGGUAUUAUAAAACUUAUUCCCAGUUCAAAUACCUCAAUCCCAUUUCUAUAAGAUGUCUGGUUUUAUUUUUUUGCUUCUUGUUUAGUUCUCAUAAUUAAUGCCAUAGCUCCAGAGAAUCUUAUAAUUCUAGGCCUCAGUUUAUAAAUUUCAGACAUUGUUUAUUGUUAAUUGAUAAAGACAAGAUUAAUUUGAUGUCAGCUGCUUUGGCUUUGUAUUGUGUUUAUUAGUGAAACAUCUAGACUAGUCAAGUGCAAUAGUGAGGAAGGAAUAAGAGAACAAAGUUGACCCUUGUGACCCAUGUGAGUAGUUGAUGCAGUAACCCACCCUCACACCAGCUUCUGUCAGGUACUUUAGUGACUUCCAUAACACUUUCAGGUUCAGUUUCUUCUUUUGGCUUUAGACAUGUUGACUCCUACUAUCUGAUGGAAUUCUCAGUUCUAUUACUUUCUAC